CGGCCAGACUCCUACGGGAGGCAGCAGUGGGGAAUAUUGCACAAUGGGGGAAACCCUGAUGCAGCGACGCCGCGUGAGUGAAGAAGUAAUUCGUUCUGUAAAGCUCUAUCAGCAGGGAAGAAAAUGACGGUACCUGAGUAAGAAGCCCCGGCUAACUACGUGCCAGCAGCCGCGGUAAUACGUAGGGGGCAAGCGUUAUCCGGAUUCACUGGGUGUAAAGGGAGCGUAGACGGCGACGCAAGUCUGGAGUGAAAGCCCGGGGCCCAACCCCGGGACUGCUCUGGAAACUGCGUCGCUGGAGUACGGGAGGGGCAGGCGGAAUUCCUGGUGUAGCGGUGAAAUGCGUAGAUAUCAGGAGGAACACCGGCGGCGAAGGCGGCCUGCUGGACCGUGACUGACGUUGAGGCCCGAGAGCGUGGGGAGCAAACAGGAUUAGAUACCCGUGUA
rnacentral:rRNA from 1 species